rnacentral:rRNA from 1 species
CGCGUAGGCGGUUUGUUAAGUCGGAUGUGAAAGCCCCGGGCUCAACCUGGGAAUUGCACCCGAUACUGGCCGACUGGAGUGCGAGAGAGGGAGGUAGAAUUCCACGUGUAGCGGUGAAAUGCGUAGAUAUGUGGAGGAAUACCGGUGGCGAAGGCGGCCUCCUGGCUCGACACUGACGCUGAGGUGCGAAAGCGUGGGGAGCAAACA